CCUAUGCCAUGGCUCCUGUAUAGCCUGCAGAACUCUUGCAGAGGGUCUAUUGUGGGACUUCACCUUGUGAUCAUGUGAGUCAAUUGUCCUUAAUAAACUCCCUUUCAUAUAUACAUCUAUCCUAGUAGUUCUGUCUCUCUAGAGAACCCUAACUAAUAUACAACCCCUGUAGGAGAGUUCUCUAGAAAUGGAGACGAGAAGGACAAGGCUAAAUUUUUUCCUGGCAUACCUGAGAGAUACUUGGGUAGCAUUUCUGUAGAGCCCAGUAAUCACUUGUGAUGCUUGGUUUACUCUGCAAUGAAUUUGGAAGCUUGGCACUCUCUGUUUUAAAGUGGAUGUGAAGUACAGAGAUGAAUGGUUCUUUUCAAACUGAAUGGCUUUAAAGAUAUCUUUGCACAGGAUAAACUCAUCAGGAGUGGCAAAUGAUAAAUGAGGGUUAUAAAAAUUUAGGAAUCUUUUACUUACCCUAAUUGAUGGCUCUCACAAGAGGAUUCAUAACUUUUUUGUUAGUUGCUCUUUACUUUCUCCAAUGUCUGAAGUCUUAAAACGACAGAGAGUUUGAGGGGUUUUUGUAAAGUUAAUUAAUGUUAAUUGUGUCGUGAAUUACUUUAAGGAGUCUGUUGAGUGAUGGACCCAGAGAAGAGGGUCGAUACCAUUUAAUGUUCAAUAGGGGAUAAUGCUGGUCUUUGGCACCAUUUUACGAUCAUUAGGGCUGUGCUAAAGCUUGUCAGGAACAGCUCUAAAGAUCAGUUGCUCAUGGCAAUUAAAACAAUUGAAAAU
rnacentral:lncRNA from 1 species